rnacentral:rRNA from 1 species
AGUGGCGGACGGGUGAGUAACACGUAGGUAACCUGCCCCGGAGCGGGGGAUAACAUUUGGAAACAGAUGCUAAUACCGCAUAACAACAAAAGCCACAUGGCUUUUGUUUUGAAAGAUGGCUUUGGCUAUCACUCUGGGAUGGACCUGCGGUGCAUUAGCUAGUUGGUAAGGUAACGGCUUACCAAGGCGAUGAUGCAUAGCCGAGUUGAGAGACUGAUCGGCCACAAUGGAACUGAGACACGGUCCAUACUCCUACGGGAGGCAGCAGUAGGGAAUCUUCCACAAUGGGCGCAAGCCUGAUGGAGCAACACCGCGUGAGUGAAGAAGGGUUUCGGCUCGUAAAGCUCUGUUGUUGGAGAAGAACGUGCGUGAGAGUAACUGUUCACGCAGUGACGGUAUCCAACCAGAAAGUCACGGCUAACUACGUGCCAGCAGCCGCGGUAAUACGUAGGUGGCAAGCGUUAUCCGGAUUUAUUGGGCGUAAAGCGAGCGCAGGCGGUUGCUUAGGUCUGAUGUGAAAGCCUUCGACUUAACCGAAGAAGUGCAUCGGAAACCGGGCGACUUGAGUGCAGAAGAGGACAGUGGAACUCCAUGUGUAGCGGUGGAAUGCGUAGAUAUAUGGAAGAACACCAGUGGCGAAGGCGGCUGUCUGGUCUGUAACUGACGCUGAGGCUCGAAAGCAUGGGUAGCGAACAGGAUUAGAUACCCUGGUAGUCCAUGCCGUAAACGAUGAGUGCUAGGUGU